rnacentral:rRNA from 1 species
CUACGGGAGGCAGCAGUGGGGAAUCUUGCACAAUGGAGGAAACUCUGAUGCAGCGAUGCCGCGUGAGUGAAGAAGGCCCUUGGGUUGUAAAGCUCUUUCGUCGGGGAAGAAAAUGACUGUACCCGAAUAAGAAGGUCCGGCUAACUUCGUGCCAGCAGCCGCGGUAAUACGAAGGGACCUAGCGUAGUUCGGAAUUACUGGGCUUAAAGAGUUCGUAGGUGGUUGAAAAAGUUAGUGGUGCAAUCCCAGAGCUUAACUCUGGAACUGCCAUUAAAACUUUUCAGCUAGAGUAUGAUAGAGGAAAGCAGAAUUUCUAGUGUAGAGGUGAAAUUCGUAGAUAUUAGAAAGAAUACCAAUUGCGAAGGCAGCUUUCUGGAUCAUUACUGACACUGAGGAACGAAAGCAUGGGUAGCGAAGAGGAUUAGAUACCCUCGUAGUCCAUGCCGUAAACGAUGUGUGUUAGACGUUGGAAAUUUAUUUUCAGUGUCGCAGCGAAAGCGAUAAACACACCGCCUGGGGAGUACGACCGCAAGGUUAAAACUCAAAU